AGCGAACGCUGGCGGCAGGCCUAACACAUGCAAGUCGAACGAACUCUUCGGAGUUAGUGGCGGACGGGUGAGUAACACGUGGGAACGUGCCUUUUGGUUCGGAAUAACUCAGGGAAACUUGUGCUAAUACCGAAUGUGCCCUUCGGGGGAAAGAUUUAUCGCCAUUAGAGCGGCCCGCGUCUGAUUAGCUAGUUGGUGAGGUAACGGCUCACCAAGGCGACGAUCAGUAGCUGGUCUGAGAGGAUGACCAGCCACACUGGGACUGAGACACGGCCCAGACUCCUACGGGAGGCAGCAGUGGGGAAUCUUGCGCCAUAGGCGAAAGACUGACGCAGCCAUGCCGCGUGAAUGAUGAAGGUCUUAGGAUUGUAAAAUUCUUUCACCGGGGACGAUAAUGACGGUACCCGGAGAAGAAGCCCCGGCUAACUUCGUG
rnacentral:rRNA from 1 species